rnacentral:lncRNA from 1 species
UACUGUUGUAUGCAGCAUGUAUACUGCCCAUUUUCGGUCUUUCUGUACACCUGUUUUCAAUUUUCAGCUCGUAUAAAAUUGUUGUUGACUCGAUGGAGAAGAUGUUGGGUUUCUUCCCAACCCGUGAUGCAAGGAGAGUAACGAAGGGAGUCCAAUGGACUCGAACCGAGAGGGUUCAUGCAAGAAAAGAAGGAUAAAGAUUAACUAGAGAUAACUUCAAGAGGCAACCAUAUUUUAGUUAGAAUUAACCACGAUAAGAAUCAUUCUUACCCCUUGUAGAUUAUCAUAAAUAAUAGGUAGAAUGAACUCCCUUUGAAAUAAUAUUAGUUCAUAUGGGCGUAAUGUUAAAUCAUCUAAUAGGUUCAAUAGACAUAACUAAAACAAUCUAGACAUUCAACUCAAUUGUAGACAAUCAAAAUAAUAUCACAUGCGUAUGAAAUAAAUAUUAUGUAGAGUACAAAUCAUUCUUAACCAAUAUGUUGUUACAUACAAUUUACAACAAGGCUUUAGACUUUAAUAUUACAUGUAUCAGGUAUUGUAACCAGUGAAGGCAAUAUUAAACAUAUAAAGAAGAAUGAAGGCUGGCAGCCCUCUCCUAGGUAACAUGGAAAUUAUUUGGUCCUCUUGAAUGCCCAGAAAAGCCAUUAGAAGACACAAUACAAAAUUUAUAGGCCACACUUAAUAUAUUACAAGAAAACAAUGUGUUAUAGACCAUAAACCAUCAAGGAAGAAAAGAGACUAUAAUUGUGGUCGUGUUCACGCUAUCAAGAUGUAUUGCAAUGUAUUAUUCGAACUUAAAAAUCACACCUUCCAGCCCGAUGAUUCCAAGAUAAUAACACGAGCAUUAUGAAAAAGAUAUAACUUAUCCCAUUUAAGCUAAGCAAGAGGAUAAUUUAAGAAGCAAAAUAAGAAGAGGAUGAACACCUUAUGCAAGUUUAGUCCUUUGCAAGACUCAUGCUAAAUCAACAGAAGAUGUUAAUUGGUAUUCAAUUAUUCAUUCAGCAAAUUAAGGACUUAAACCGGAUAUAUGAUGAGUAGAGAAAUUUAAUGGAAGGCUACAAACUCAAAAGGGGAAUAUUGUAGAUCAAAGUCGGGAGCAGAGAUCAAAUACAUUAAUCACAUGAGAUUAGGCUAAUAUUCAAUACUUCCUCUUCAAGAAUAGUAGGACAAACAUAGGGCCAAAAAUAAGAUCUUCUUGAGUUAGUCAAUACUUAAGCUAACAGAGAUAAAUUAAAUAGACAAGGAUUGACUACAUAAUUUCAAAUCACCUAGCAAAUUAACUAAAAAACAAUACAAACUGAUUCAAAUUAAGAUGAACUAAAAAAAACUAAACAAACUAUAAUAUUAAACGAGCAUAAUACCAUAAAUGAAUCAAAGCAUCAUAUACACAAAGAACAAAACUACAGAAUAUUACCUCUUCCGGAGCAGCGACCGAAGACAACUAGAUUGAGAGGACAGAGGUUCUUCCACCACAAAAGCCAAGUAUGAAUAGCAAACCAAGAGAAUCUGAGUGGCGACCUUCUCGGAAACUUAGAACAAGAGAGCUAAACAUAAAAUUUUAAGUGUAAAGUCACUAUUGCCAAAGAACUCAAACUAGAAAAAAAACUUCUUUUUUUUUUGGCGCCCCCC